rnacentral:lncRNA from 1 species
GUUGUCUCUUCCACAUAUUACUCGCAGUCAGCGACAGAGGGCUUUCCCACGCCAGGCCUGCAGAUCCCAGUCGGAAGCUUUAUCUAUCCUGCCCCUUGGGGGACUGCGGCUGGCUUUCCCCCAUGAGACCUAUUCUGUAUUGAACAGGAAAGCACAAACAAUCACAAUGCCCAGCAAAGAUAAAGUGUUUUCCAUGCUCUCUGUUACGACAGUGAUCCCCAUAGAGACGUAAUCUUCAGUUUACGGAGACUUUUUUCUGAGUCCCAAAUUGCAGGAAUCUGUGGGGUUUUCCCCCUAACCUUGCCCUUCCACCCUUCGUGGAUCCUCCUGGAAUGGUCCACAGGCAUCUAUAUCUGCUGUCCCCCAACCCCACCAGCAAGGGGCGCGCGAGAUGAAACAGUUCUGUCCUGGGAUGUACCACCGAGGGGUAGCGGAAAGACCACCCACUCUGGAAGGUACCAUUGGGAGAGGGCGUGUGACAACAGAGAGGGUCCCCUUACACCGCGUCGGGCAUGGACCGCAGUUCCCAGCAGCGGCACUCAUGGCGCCACUAGGUCCAUCCCCACUCGCUCCUCUUCGUCUUCCCACUGCUUUUGAAUCCGAGUGGACACAGAAAUAUCAGUGGGCAAGUGGCGUCAACAUUGGGACCUAUAGAUCAAGAUUCCCCAAGCUGGAUGAACCUGUGGUUGACCAGCAGCCCAGUGUUGAGCAACCUCAACAAGAGGAACGGCCACCUGAGAUUCAGGAUAUCACACCUGAAAAGGAGGAAGUAAAUGGAGAGGAUCCGGUGAAUCAUAAUGAAGAGAAGGAGAAGGAUGCCUCUGGAGAGUAA